rnacentral:RNase_MRP_RNA from 1 species
GGGCACAACGAAGACAGACUCUCCGAGUUCGCAUGGUGGAAACACUUUGUGAUUCUCUGGGAAAAGUCCCCGGACCUGUGGUAGAAAUACCUUGCUUUGAGAGCUGAUAGAAGCAACGAUUCUCGUCUGAGCGAAGAUCCUUUCGAGGUGAGCAAUGUGAGGAGUUGAUUUCUUUUAGUCAUAGCAAAGUCAUGUCUGUGCAGCUUCUCAUUUGUACGAAGUUGUUACUCAACGGGGCUUACUCUCGUUGUGUC